AAAGAGAAGCCUGUGGCGAAAGCAAGUUCGAAUACUGAUUCUAAACCAACUACCUCUUCAAGCCAGGGAGCUCCUUCUGCCAAGGAUGCUGCUCCAGAAAAAACGAAGAAGAGUUCAAAGGUAUUACAUCAAAUAACUUCUUUGUCUCUUUCGUAUUUUUCUAACUGUUUAUAAUUUUCCUUUUUCAGGGUAGUGGCAAGCCUCCUUUGACGCCCAAGAAAAGAAAAGUCCCCACUACAAAUGUAAUUCUUGUCGAAGACGAUGAAGAAGAA
rnacentral:lncRNA from 1 species